rnacentral:rRNA from 1 species
UACGUAGGGUGCGAGCGUUGUCCGGAAUUACUGGGCGUAAAGAGCUCGUAGGUGGUUUGUCGCGUUGUUCGUGAAAACUCACAACUCAAUUGUGGGCGUGCGGGCGAUACGGGCAGACUGGAGUACUGCAGGGGAGACUGGAAUUCCUGGUGUAGCGGUGGAAUGCGCAGAUAUCAGGAAGAACACCCGUGGCGAAGGCGGCUCUCUGGGACGGUACUGACGGCUGAGACGCGAAAGCGUGGGGAGCGAACAGG